UAGUCACACUGCACUGCAUAGGCACUCAGGAUGGCUCUCGCAAGCCAACUCAAGUGUCCUUACCUCCAGUGCUCCACUGGUAAUUAUAACUGGCAGCCCAGGGUCAGCCUCCUGUGCCACCACACCCUGCUCCUGGAAGAGAAAGCUGCUAAGGAAGAGACAGCAUCAACAGGAAACUUCUAACCAGAUGCAGCUUUGAGUUUCACCAGUUACUGAGCAACAAGCUUAAGGCUGUAGUGAAGCUGUCACUGCA